GCCUAAGGUUUAGAGUAGAGAGGUUUACCAAAGCUUCAUCUCUAAAUUUUGCUCAAAAUUCUACAUUAAUAUAUGUACAUAUAUAAAAAAAUCUUGCAGCUUGUUUCCUCUUGAAGAUUGCUUUAAGGGUUCAAUGGUGGACAUCAAAGUUUUGGGGAGAAUAUUUGAGUUAGUGCGGAGCUGUUAGGUGGACAAAGCACGAUGAGAAACACAUUUCAUCUUCCCUAAUUUUUGUUUUUCUUUCCCAAGUAGUUUGUAACUGAUUAUUUGUGCUAUUGUGGCCGGAGUUUAGUAUUUCUCGGAGAGGUGCUCGGAAAGUGAUGGUGUGACGCCGCCUAACAGGUGAUUCUCUUAGAGCUUUUGGUAAGAUGUUCUUUAUUGAACUAGGUAUUUUUUUUUUCUAAUUUCGUUGAAAUUUUGUGGAACAAUGUGGAUAUUUCAGUGUUCUAAGUUCGUAUGUUAUGAAGAAUGCAUUUUUUUUUCUUGGUAGGACAGUUUAAAUUAUUUGCUUAGAAAUUUUAAUUUUAGAUUAUAUGUCCUAUAUAAGAUUUUCGGCUAACUAAUGUUGGAGUUGUGAUCGAGUUAAUCUUAAUACUGAUUAUUUUUUGUUAUUUUUCCACUCUCAAAAUUUCUUAUGUUAAUAGCUCCACCAUGAUGCUCUGCCACUAUUUUUUUGAAGUUCUAUACUUGAUAUUGUUUGAAAACAGAGAUUAUUUUCCAUUUUUAGUAUGAUUAGAUUCCAUUUCCCCGACAAGGUAUUCACUUUCUGGAACAGAUGAAAGGGACAAAGGUAAGUUUUUUUCUUAUUUUUGUCAAUAGUUGAAUGUGCAUGAUAUUAAAAGAUUAGAUCAAUGGAAGUUUCAUGUAAUGAAUUUUGAUUACCCAGUUGUUUAGUUCUUUCUUUUAUCUCUGUUUAAUGUUUGUAAACUGGAAUUAAAUGAACUUGUUACAUAUAUGUGUCUUUCCUCUGUUCUUUUCACCUUUCGUUUAAAGUUGGAUUGAAUAAAUUUUACAGAUCGAUAUUUCCACUGGGUGAAUGGUGAUGAAAUUCUUCAAUACCGUUGCGGAUAAGAAAGGAGGAAUAUAUCAUUGAUAGUCGGAGAGAAAUCUAGCUCCUGUUUUGUGAAGAAAAUUGAUUGUAAGGCAAAGAAAUAACAUUUGGUUGGUUUUAAUGUUCUCUAUGUUAAAUUGUUCACUUCUGUUUAUUAAUAUAGGGAAUGUGACUGGUGUGUUAUUUCUGUUUGGUUUAUUGGAGUAUUUAAGUUUAUUUCUAAAAAUUGGUUUUAAUUGUACAAGGGAAAUUUGAUUUUUGAUGCAUAAUAGGAGGUCAUAUGUCAAAAUAGUACCUAGCUAAAAAAACAUCAUAUUUUUAUCUUAGUAUUCCCUUUCAUACCCAAAAUGCCCCUGACAUAAGUUUUCAUCUUUUUUUCUCCUAUUGUGUUCUCACUUUCGAAGCUCUCAUACACAAAGCUAGCCACUAUUAUUUUAAUCUAUACUAAUUUUUGAGGUCAUUUUAUACUUAGGAUCUAGGAGCAAGUUGUGAAUCCUUUCAAGUCAAGAAAUUAUUUCUCAAGGGUAAGUAUAUAUUUGUUAUAUGUAGUGAGGAAACUUGUUUAUCUACAUUGCUUGUGCUAUUUCAAACAGAUAUGUGUAUGUCUUCGUGUUUUAUUGUAAUUUUCACCGUCGGAAUGGAUUUUCGUUUCUUUUUUAGUUUAUGUCAGUUGGAUACUUCGAUAUUCUCGAUGAGACUUUAUGGUCCUCGAUGGACCCCGAUAAAACUCUCAUAUAUUUAGGGAAAUUGGCUACCUCGAUGGACCUCGAUAGAGGCAUAGAACUUAAUGUAUGUAGUAUGUGCCUCGAUGGGUUCAUAAGAAAUUUUUUGGGCAGUCCACCUCGAUGUACCUCGAUUGUACUCGAUAGGUUGACCUUGAUAGGCCUUGACAUAUCUUGAUAUAAAUUGAUUUUAUGCUGUUUUAUGUUUUAGUUUUAAUUUUAAUUUUUGAUAUAUAUUUUUUGUUGUUUUUAAUAUAGAUUCGACUGUUUCCAUAUUUGUUGCAUUUAAUAGUGUUUGAGAACUGGAAAAUAGGGAUUGGAUUUUUAGGGAUGCUGAAAAUCAAGUUUUGCCUUUGGAAGAAGGGUGUGACGUAUGAGCAACUGCUUGACAUUCUGUACGAUGAGUUUGAAGUGGAUAAAUGUGUGUAUGACUUAAAAAUUGAGGUCUCAUACAUAUCUCUCACAAUUUGUCAAAUUUACCGAUCAAGUUUUAGGAUUGUUUAUAGUCUAGUUUUUAGAAAGGUUUGCAUUAGUUUAGGGCUAUUUUAUUGCAGAUUUAUGCUUGUUUGUUCAUGUUUCAAGUUUUUGAUGCUAAGAUGGUGAAAAGAGUGGAAUGAAGUGAAAGUGGAAGAAAAUAGAAUUAUUUUGGUAAAAAUCGAGUCAUUCGAGAGCAAGAAGUCCGAGUAAUGUUUCUGUGAAUAGCGCUACAGCGCUAUCAUAUUGGCGCUACAAUGCUAGAAAGAAGACUUCAAGGCUUGUGUUUCUGUAAGUAGCGCUACAAAAUUAGCGCUACAGCGCUUGAAGGUUCUGAAGAUUGGCACCCCAGCGCUACAAUACUAGCGCUACAGCGCUAGUACAUCAAUUUUUGAUGCAAUUUGGCUCUAGCAAUAGCGCUACAGCGCUGUCGAUGCGGUUUUGAAAUCUGAAGUCAUUUUUAGAAGGACAAAACAGUCUUUUCACUUGGGAGCAUUGGAAAACUAUUUAAGGGACAUUAAUCUAUGAAUUAAUUAAGCAGUUUUUAGUUUUUAAAACUAUAGAUCUAGAAAAGGCUGCUGUAUUUAGUUUUCUUUCUAGAUUUCUUUCUCAUCUUAAAUUUUUAGGUUAUUUUCUAUGAGCAAUUACUUGAAUUUUAUUAUCAUUAUGUUAUCUAUGAACUAAAUCAUUUAUCUAGGGAUUAAUGUAGUUGCUUGAAUUUCAAUUUAAUUUUAUUAUGAUGUUUUAUUGAUAUUUCUUUUUUAUUAUAAUCUAUAUGAUGUUUGCUUAAUGCUAGUAAAUACUUGAUCACUAUUUACUUGAUUUAAUGGUUUUGAUUCAAAAUUUGAAAGAUAAAAAUUGAAUAUGUUAUCAUUAUAUAGACAUAGGUUGCAUAUCAGACGAAAGUACAUGUAUGACUUGUGUAACAAUUAUGUUUCUAUGCUUAAUGUCUUUUAUAUGUUUAAGUUUAUCACAAAGAUGUAUAAAACCUGCAUAUAGGCUGAGAUUUUAUAUCUUGAAAAAGAAUAGAAAUCGAUUUAUGUUAACCUGUUAUUAGAAUAAGAAGAGAUCUAUAACUGAUUAGUAAAAUUAAUAGAAUGAAAUGUCGAUGAAAUUAAUUUCUAGGCUUUUUAUUAUUGAUUUUUCUAGGCUUUUUAAUAUUGAUUUUUAAUGUGUUUAUUUAUUGUUUUGUUUACAGUUAUUUAAAUUGUGCUCGUAGCUUAGAAUUAUUCAACUUAAUUUUAAUUACCAAAUAGAUACUGAAAAUCAAUUAUUGGUAAUUGAUUAAUAGUCUCAGUGGGACGAUCUCUGUUCUUAUAGAAUUAUUACUUGACAUGACCACGUAUAGUUGCGUGUAUAUUUUAUCGAUUAAGUUUUUGACAUCGUUGUCGAUGACUAAAUAACCAAUAUCAAAAUUAAUUGUUUUUCAUUCUACUUUGGUUUUAAUCUAACGUUUUCUAAUUCAAGUUGCUUUUAAAUUUCUCAAUUUAGGUGAUCUAUUUUAUGCGACGUAAAUGUUAAAAAAUACUAGUGCUUGUUGAUUCUGAGAUUGAGAAGACCUAGAAAAAAGAAAGAAAACAGAAAAGACUUGAAAUGAUGGCCUAGAAAGUCAAUAAUGUUGCCAACAACAAUUUGAAUCGGGGUAAUGAGGGUAACGCUGCAGUUGAGGCAUAUCUACCCCUGAUGGAUUAUGUACUCCCUACUGUCACGGGUACAUUCUAGUAUUCGCCCACCUACUGUAGAGGUGAACAAUUUUGAGAUCAAGCCUUCGAUUAUCCAAAUGGUUCAGAAUUGCGUUCAGUUUGGGGGGCUACUUAAUGAGGAUCCGAACCUCCAUAUCACCAAUUUUUUUGGAGUUAUGUAAUACUUUCAAAAUGAAUGGAGUAAGUAAUGAUGCAAUCCAUUUGAUGCUAUUUCCGUUUUCUUUGAGAGACAAAGCUAAUACUUUGUUGAUUUCGCUGCAAGCCAAUUCCAUAGUGACGUGGGAAGAUCUUGCUCAAAAAUUUCUUGCUAAGUAUUUUCCUCCUGCUAAAUUGGUCCGGAUUAGAGGUGAAAUAAAUAAUUUCUGUCAAUUUGAGGGAGAAUCGUUAUAUGACGCUUGGGAAAUGUUUAAAGAUCUACUUCGAAAAUGUCCACAUCAUGGUAUAGUGAAAUGGAUGUUGGUGCACACUUUCUAUAAUAGACUGAGGACUAUAAUAGAUGCAUCAGCUGGUGGAGUAUUUAUGAGCAAAAGCGCUAAUGAAGCUUAUGAGCUUUUAGAGGAGAUGGCCAUGAAUAAUUAUAAUUGGCCAGCUGAGCGAGAAAAUAAGAAGGUGGCAGGAGUUCUAGAAGUUGAUCCUAUUGUUAUGCUCACUGCUCAAAUUGCUUCGCUAACUAAACAAAUGCAACAACAAAACAACAUUCCAGCUCAAGCGAUGCAACUACAACCCACUCCUAUCAUUUGUGAGACAUGUGGAGGCCCUCAUCACUUUGAGCAAUGUCUAGCGACGAGUUCUUAUUCAGUAGAUGAUAUUCCACUUGAAAAGGUUCAAGCCAUUGGUAAUUUCCCAAGGCAACCGAAUAUCUAACAUUUAUACUCCAGCGUAUAAGAACCAUCCAAAUUUGUCUUGGAGUAAUAAUCAAGGGCACCAACCACAAUAUCAUCAAAAUCCACCUCAAUAUCUUCCAAAUAGAUCAUCAUAUGGGCUCAAUCCAAGACCCUUUUAUGAUACUCAAAGGCCACAAAUGCCGCAAAAUCAACAACCACCCCCUCAAAUGACUAAACUAGAGGUAUCCGCGGAUUCAUUGAGCCAAUUUAUGACAGAAACUAGAUCCUCUAUUCGGAGCUUAGAAACACAAGUUGGCCAACUUGCAAAGUUAAUGGCGGAUCGUGAUCAAGGAGCUUUACCUAGUUCAACUGUGGUGAAUCCUAAGGAGCAAUGUCAAGCUGUCACUUUGAGGAGCGAGACUAAGUAUGAAGGACCUACAGUAGAAAACAAGGGCAAGAAGAUAGAGGAUCAACAUGUCACUAGUCCAGCAAAAGAUGAGGUUACUGAAGACCUUCCAAAGAAAGAAAAACCAAAAUACACUGAGCCUCCACCAAAGAUUCCAUAUCCUCAACCGUUUCGAAAGGCUAAUCUUGACAAAAAAAUUUCUAAAUUUUUGGAUAUCUUUCGAAAACUACACAUUAACAUCCCUUUUGCAGAGGCUUUAGAACAAAUGUCAAGUUAUGUGAAGUUUAUGAAAGAAAUUUUUUCAAGAAAGAGGAAAUUAGAGGAUUAUGAGAAGGUUGCAUUAACUGAAGAGUGCAGCGCAAUACUUUAGAAGAAACUACCUCCAAAGCUUAAAGAUCUUGGUAGUUUCAAUAUCCCAUGUUCUAUAGGGGGUUUAGUAGAAACAAAAAUUUUAUGUGAUUUAGGGGCCAGUGUGAAUCUAAUGCCUCUAUCAAUCUUUCAGAAGUUGAAUUUAGGAGAAGCUCGACCAACUACUAUGUCUCUACAGAUGGCAGAUUGAUCAGUUAAUCACCCUCUUGGAGUGAUUGAUGACAUAUUGGUAAAAGUGGGUAAAUUCAUCUUUCCUACGGACUUUAUUAUUUUAGAUAUGGAGGAAGAUGAAAAUAUUCCAAUAAUACUUGGAAGGCAAUUCUUAGCUACUGGUAGGGCUUUAAUUGAUGUACAAAAGAGUGAGUUAAAGCUGCGGGUGCAAAAAGAGGAGGUAAUAUUUAAUGUUUUUGCAACAAUAGAAAUUCCAACGUGUUGUAGAGUUGAAAUGGUAAACCAAGGAGAGAACAAGUUGGAAGUCUCUAAGAAAAGAUCCAUAGUUAAAACUGAAAUGCAAAGGAGGCGUCAUCGGUUAAAAAUGUUCUUUAGUGAAAGAAUUCGAAUGUUACAUGAGCGAGGGAAAGUACCACCAAUUUCUAAUCACAAGAAAUGAGGCCCAACCCAUGCCACUAUGGCUCUCAAGGACGUGCGGGGAGGACUUGAUCCAUGUUGAAUAUGAAUGAAAACAAGAGUCCGGCUAAAAGACGUUGAAGACAGUGCUCUUAGGAGGCAUUCCUAUGUUUAUUUUUAAUUUUUAAUUUUAUGUUAUUUUUUUUGUUUUUUUAUUGGAACAAUGUUUUUAGAGAUUUUAUUUUAGUUGUUUUUAGUUUUAUUCUGGAAAAGUUGUGUUGUAACUCGUAACCCAUGAAAAACGUGAAAAAAUUGAAGUUUUAGGUGGUUAUAGCGCUACAGCAGCCAUUGUCGUCUCAACCGUUUAAGGGACCUUCGUCCCAGCCUCCACAACCGCCAUACUGACGUGGCUGUUCAGGCGUUUUGACUCCGUGUCAGUUGACCAAAACAAGGGUCAACAAAGGCUAAGAAGCAAGCAGCUGGAAAGGCACCGGCAACUGAAAAACCUGCUGGAGCAAAGCCAACUAGCAAGAAGGCUAAAGGACAAUGUUUCCACUGCAAGGAGGAGGGGCAUUGGAAGCGUAAUUGCCCCGCCCUCAAGGCAACUGGAACCCAAGCUACUUAGCAAUUGGAAAACGGUGAAGGAGGGUGAGUUAAAACUUAGAGUUGGAAAUGGUGAAUUCGUAGAGGUCAAAGCGAAAGGACAAGCCCAUUUAAAUUUUGGAAAUAAAUUUAUGUUGUUGGAUGAUGUUUAUUUUAUUCCAAAUUUUAGUAGGAAUUUAGUUUCAGUUUCUUUAUUACAUCAACAAAGAUUUGCUGUUACUUUCACAAGUUUUAAUAUAUCUAUUUCAUUUAAUGGAUGUGAAUUGUGUGUUUGAUGUAUGGAAAAUGACUUGUAUAUUUUGCGACCUAAUGAAUCACUCGCGCUUAACAAUGAAUUAUUUAAGGUAGCUAAUCCUAGGACUGCCAAGCAACAGAAGAUCGAUAAUGAUCACAUGACAUACCUUUGGCAUCUUCGCCUUGGUCAUAUUAACUAUGAUAGGAUUAAAAGACUUACAAAGGCUGGGCCUUGCCUUUGAAGGAACUCACAAUGGGUGACUUACCUGUCUGGGAAUCUUGUCUGGAAGGUAAAAUGACCAAGCGUCCAUUCUCUGCAAAAGGAGAAAGGGCCAAUGUACCCUUAGGGCUCGUUCAUACUGACGUCUGUGGACUGAUUAAUGUUCAGGCAAGAGGUGGUAAUGAAUAUUCGUCACUUUCAUUGACGAUUAUUCUCGAUAUUCAUGUCUUUACCUAAUGCAAAGAAAAUCUGAAACUUUUGACAAGUUUAAAGAAUUUUUAGCAAUGGCCCAAAACCAGUUAGGUAAAACUUUAAAGAUCUUGAGAUCUGAUAGGGGUAGAGAAUAUUUGGAUAAUCAAUUCCAAGAUCAUUUUACUGAUUGUGAGAUUCUGUCUCAACUCACUACCCCAGGAACUCCGCAACAAAAUAGUGUUGCUGAGCGUCGGAACCGAACGUUGUUAGAAAUGGUGAGGUCGAUGAUUAGUUAUUCAACUCUAUCAGCGUCUUUCUGGGGGUAUGCCAUUCAGACCGCUAACGACAUUUUAAAUGUUGUACCAUCUAAGGCUAUCUCCAAAACGCCUCUAGAACUAUGGAAUGGACGUGAACCUAGUCUACGCCAUUAUAGAAUUUGGGGGUGUCCUGCUCAUGUCCUGAGGAAAAAGGAAGGAAAGCUAGAAUCGCGAACUGAGGUUUGCUUGUUUGUAGGCUAUCCUAAAAGUACUUGGGGUGGUCUGUUUUAUAGUCUAGUGUACAAGAAAGAGUUUGUUUCCACAAACGCUACUUUUCUAGAAAACGACUACAUGAAAAACUUCAAACCUCGGAGUAAAAUACUGUUGGAAGAAAUGCAAUCAGCAGGAAAUGUUCAACCCAUACCAAUGCAAAUCAACAAGAACGUUGAAGAAGAACAGACAGCUGGUCCAAGUCAGACAGUUACGGUGCCUCGUCGUAGUGGGACGGAACGCUACGGGAUGGAUGGUGAAACCAAUAUGGUAGUAACUGACACUCGUGAUGAUGAUCCUUUCUCCUUUAAACAGGCAAUGGUUAGUUCUGAAAAGGAUUUGUGGCUCGAAGCCAUGAACCAGGAAAUGGAGUCCAUGUACUCCAAUUUCGUCUAGGAUCUUGUAGAAGCGCCGAUGGACUUUAGGCCCAUUGGAUGCAAGUGGAUCUACCAGAAGAGAAGAGGAGCAGAUGGAAAUGUUGAGACAUAUAAGGCUCGACUUAUGGCAAAGGGUUAUACCCAAAGAGAGGGAGUUGACUAUGAGGAAACUUUCUCUCCAGUGGCCAUGUUAAAAUCCAUUCGCAUACUUUUAUCCAUAGCUGCAGCUCUUGAUUAUGAGAUUUGGCAAAUGGACGUCAAGACAACAUUUCUAAAUGGCUUUCUUGAUGAGACCAUUUAUAUGGAUCAACCAGAAGGAUUUGUAGUAGCUGGACAGGAAAAGAAAGUAUGCAAGCUCAAUAGGUUCAUUUAUGGUCUUAAACAAGCUUCGCGCUCCUGGAACUUAAGGUUUAAUGAAAUAAUUAAGACCUAUGGUUUUGAGCAGAACGUCGAUGAACCCUGUGUUUACCAAUUGAGGGAAAAUGUUGUGAAAGUGUUCUUGGUACUUUAUGUAGAUGAUAUUUUGCUCAUUGGCAAAAAUGUCAAGAAAUUAUCAGACAUAAAGAAUUGGCUCGGGACCAAAUUUCAGAUGAAAUAUUUGGGUGAAGCUAGUUACGUUCUCGGUAUCCAGAUCAUUCGGGACAGGAAGAACAAGAUGUUGGCGCUAUCUCAAGCAUCGUACAUAGAUAAGGUACUUGAACGUUUCUCUAUGAAAAACUCAAAGAAGGGACUGUUGCCAUCCUGACAUGGAGUUCAUCUAUCUAAGAAGCAGUCUCCACAUACUUCUCAAGAGGAAGAAGAGAUGAAAUAGAUUCCUUAUGCAUCCGCAGUUGGAAGUCUUAUGUAUGCUAUGUUAUCCACUAGACCGGACAUCUGCUAUGCAGUGGGAGUUGUAAGCAGGUACCAGUCAAAUCCUGGUAGACAACAUUGGGCAGCGGUCAAGCACAUAUUGAAGUAUCUACGAAGAACAAAGGAUUAUAUGUUGGUCUAUUCGGGAGGUUCACUAGACCCGAUAGGCUACACUGAUUCUGAUUUUCAGACGGAUGUCGAUGACAGGAAGUCUACUUCUGGAAUGGUGUUUACUCUUGGGGGUGGAGCAGUGAUUUGGAGAAGCGUUAAGCAGUCUGUCAUUUCAGAUUCCACCAUGGAGGCUGCGUACAUAGCUGCGUCUGAAGCAGCUAAGGAAAUAGUCUGGUUGAAGAAGUUCUACACGGAUCUUGGUGUUAUUCCAGGAAUGGAUAAACCACUCAUAUUGUACUGUGACAAUAAUGGGGCUAUAACGAAUUCGAAAGAACCUCGAAGUCAUAAAAGAGCAAAGCAUAUAGAGAAGAAAUACCACAUCAUUAGGGAAUAUGUGUCCAGGGGUGACGUCAAGGUGAUGAAGAUAGCGUCGGAAGACAAUCUGGCAUAUCCUUUUACCAAGACUUUGGCUGAGAGUGUUUUCGUGAAGCAUGUAGAGGGAAUGGGUUUAUGCCUUUAAAAGGGCAAGUGGGAGUUUGUUGGGUUUUAUGCCUUUAAUAAAACCAUAUUUCUUAUGUCACAAGUUAUUAUUAUCAAUAAAAGAAGUAGAAAUUGUUUUGUUUAUUCAAUUGCAUUGUUCGCUUCUUUUAUUACAUGUUUAUUCAAUUAAUACAAACAUUCAUAAAAUCCUGAACAUAUGGAUAGUUACAAUUAUAGUGACUAGGUCACAAUGGAUUAUAGUUGUAAUUAUAUGUUCAAAAGAACAAGUCCUAGAUUAGAUCAGUGCAUUGGAUUUUCACUGAUUAGGAAAUCUACGAUAUGAUCUACUUACACAUUAGGAGUGUGAUGUCUUGUCCAAGGCAUUGACCAAGUAGAUAUGAUCAGUUGUAUUUGGUUACAUCGGACUAGGACCGAUAUUGAUUAUUGAUUGAUAAAUAAGUAUCGUUGUUAUCGAAUCUAAUCAAUGUCACAACGUUGACCAUAGGUUAAGUCGAUCUUAAUUCUGAGUGAUAAUAUGUAAUGACCCACUAAUCUAGACUAAUUGGACCAUUAUCGAAACUAUACAUAAAACUUACAUUUUUACGAAAAUACCAUAAUUUAUUGAGUAACUUGAAAAUAAGAGUUAUUUACAAAUAAACAGAAUACUAAGAAGGAUUUUGGGAUCCCAUUGUUUUUAAAACAAAACAUAAUUUAAAAUAAAAGACAUUACAUAAU